UACGGGGGGGGCAAGCGUUGUUCGGAAUUACUGGGCGUAAAGGGCUCGUAGGCGGCCAACUAAGUCAUACGUGAAAUCCCUCGGCUUAACCGGGGAACUGCGUCUGAUACUGGAUGGCUUGAGUUCGGGAGAGGGAUGCGGAAUUCCAGGUGUAGCGGUGAAAUGCGUAGAUAUCUGGAGGAACACCGGUGGCGAAGGCGGCAUCCUGGACCGAUACUGACGCUGAGGAGCGAAAGCCAGGGGAGCAAUCGGG
rnacentral:rRNA from 1 species